rnacentral:SRP_RNA from 1 species
GUAGACAGGCUGGCGAGGUAGCUCUUCGCUGCUUGCAAGUGAGCUUUAUGCAGGCUUAAGAGGGGGAGUGAUAAGGAUACUAAAAAGUCUUAAUACUAACGUUGAGGUUUUGUCCUUCUUGAUCUUGCUAUUGCGAAACGGGUCAGAUCUUGAUCGAAGCAGCCCUAACCAUUAGUUAAGAUGCUUGAAGGGUCGCAAGACUGAGGAGGUAUUGAGGUAGCCUUUUAUUAUUUUUUGAGCAAACCUUCGGUCUAC